AACGAACGCUGGCGGCAUGCCUAACACAUGCAAGUCGAGCGCCCGUAGCGAUACGGGAGCGGCGCACGGGUGAGUAACGCGUGGGAACCUGCCCUUAGGUUCGGGACAACCGCGGGAAACUGCGGCUGAUACCGGAUGAAGUCCCCGAUAGAGAUAUUGGGGCCCAAAGAUUUAUCGCCUUUGGAGGGGCCCGCGUCGGAUUAGGUAGUUGGUGGGGUAACGGCUCACCAAGCCUGUGAUCCGUAGCUGGUCUGAGGGGAUGAUCAGCCACACUGGGCCUGAGACACGGCCCAGACUCCUACGGGAGGCAGCAGUGGGGAGUAUUGGACAAUGGGGGCAACCCUGAUCCAGCAAUGCCGCGUGGGUGAUGAAGGCCUUCGGGUUGUAAAGCCCUUUCGGCGGGGACGAUGAUGACGGUACCCGCAGAAGAAGCCCCGGCUAACUUCGUGCCAGCCGCCGCCGUAAGAC
rnacentral:rRNA from 1 species